rnacentral:misc_RNA from 1 species
AAAAUAAUCCUACCCUUUGUGAAUUUUGUUUGUUUGAAUAAUUUUUUUUUUUAAAAAAUUAUUGGAGUCUUUCCCUUUAGAGUUUGCUUUUGAGUUUGUAAAAGAAUUCGAAAACAUCUAAGGGGAUGGUCAAUAAUUUUUUUUGAAAAAGACAUUUUUUAAAAUUAAACUUUUUGUAUUCAUUUGUCUAAAAAUUAUUUUUAUAAUAUAAAAACAACUUUUGACAAUGGAUCUCUUGGUUCUCGCAACGAUGAAGAACGCAGCAAAAUGCGAUAAGUAGUGUGAAUUGCAGAAUACGUGAGUCAUCGAAUCUUUGAACGCAUAUUGCACUUUUUAGUUUACUAAAAAAGUAUGUCUGUUUGAGUAUCAGUAAAAUAUUCUCAUAAAAAUCAUUGUAUUUUUAUGGUUAUGAGUGUUUUACAACGAUACAAGUUGUUUCACUUUAAAUUUUUUUUUAAUAUUGAAAUUUUUCUAAUUUUAAUAAUUAAAAUUGGAUAAAAUUUUCCCGUCAAAAGGAAUAACCUAAACAAUUUUAAACGAUUAAUUUUAGCAAAAUUUUCGUAAAAAAGGAAAAUUUUUAUUAAAAUAACUUGAUCUCAAAUCAGAUAAGAGUACCCGCUGAACUUAAGCAUAUCAAUAAGCGGAGGAAAAGAAACUAACAAGGAUUCCCUUAGUAACGGCGAGUGAAGCGGGAAGAGCUCAAAUUUGAAAUCUUCAAGGUUUUACCUUGACGAAUUGUAGUUUAUAGAAGUGUUUUCUGCUGAAGUUUUGGUAAAAGUUCUUUGGAAUAGGACAUCAUAGAGGGUGAGAAUCCCGUAUUUGACCAUUAUUUUCAGCUUGUGAUACACUUUCAAAGAGUCGGAUUGUUUGGGAAUGCAGUCCAAAAUGGGUGGUAAAUUUCAUCUAAAGCUAAAUAUUGGCGAGAGACCGAUAGCGAACAGUACCGUGAGGGAAAGAUGAAAAGAACUUUGAAAAGAGAGUUAAACAGUACGUGAAAUUGUCAAAAGGGAAGCGUUUGACACCAGUGUUGUUUUCUCGAAAAUCAAUUAAAAAUGGCUCGAUUUUGUAUUGCUGAGACCUUAAAAGCUCACUGUACAUCUUUCGUGUCUUUUUUAAUGCACUUUUCGUUUAACAAGUCAACAUCAGUUUCUUUUGUUGUAAAAGGGUCAUUGGAAGGUGGCUUUCUUUUCGGAGAAAGUGUUUAUAGCCUUUGGCCUCUGCAAUCGGAGAGACUGAGGUCUGCAGCGUAGACUCUUCGGGGUUAGAUACAUUUGUGCUAAGUUAUAGCUUUUAUAGACAACUUGUUGACUAUAAUUAGUCUUGUAGCUUACUCGCUUAUGCUAUUUUACCUAC